CAGCCGCCGCGGGAAUACGUAGGGUGCGAGCGUUAAUCGGAAUUACUGGGCGUAAAGCGUGCGCAGGCGGUUAUAUAAGACAGAUGUGAAAUCCCCGGGCUCAACCUGGGACCUGCAUUUGUGACUGUAUAGCUAAAGUACGGUAGAGGGGGAUGGAAUUCCGCGUGUAGCAGUGAAAUGCGUAGAUAUGCGGAGGAACACCGAUGGCGAAGGCAAUCCCCUGGACCUGUACUGACGCUCAUGCACGAAAGCGUGGGGAGCAAACAGGAUUAGAUACCCCAGUAGUCCCUGUCUCUUAUCC
rnacentral:rRNA from 1 species